UAUGGUAAUGCCAGCAGCCGCGGUAAUACGAAGGGGGCAAGCGUUGUUCGGAAUUACUGGGCGUAAAGGGAGUGUAGGCGGUUAUGUAAGAUAGUGGUGAAAUCCCAGAGCUUAACUUUGGAAUUGCCAUUAUGACUAUGUGGCUAGAAUUACAGAGAGGAUAGUGGAAUACCCAGUGUAGAGGUGAAAUUCGUAGAUAUUGGGUAGAACACCAGUGGCGAAGGCGACUAUCUGGCUGUAUAUUGACGCUGAGGCUCGAAAGCAUGGGGAUCAAACAGG
rnacentral:rRNA from 1 species